rnacentral:tRNA from 2 species
GCCUGCUUAGCUCAGCGGUAGAGCAGCUGUUUUGUAAACAGCAGGUCGUCGGUUCAAAUCCGACAGCAGGCU